rnacentral:rRNA from 1 species
AAACCUCAGAAAGCCAAUCUCAGUUCGGAUUGUAGGCUGCAACUCGCCUACAUGAAGUUGGAAUCGCUAGUAAUCGCGAAUCAGAAUGUCGCGGUGAAUACGUUCCCGGGUCUUGUACACACCGCCCGUCACACCACGAGAGUUUACAACACCCGAAGUCAGUGGCCUAACCGCAAGGAGGGAGCUGCCUAAGGUGGGGUAGAUGAUUGGGGUGAAGUCGUAACAAGGUACC